GACGAACGCUGGCGGCGUGCUUAAUACACGCAAGUCGAACGAUGAACCCGGAGCUUGCUCCGGUGGAUUAGUGGCGAACGGGUGAGUAACACGUGAGUAACCUGCCCUUGACUCUGGGAUAACUGCGGGAAACUGUAGCUAAUACCGGAUACGACCCUCGGCGGCAUCGCCAGGGGGUGGAAAGAAUUUCGGUCAAGGAUGGACUCGCGGCCUAUCGGCUAGUUGGUGAGGUAACGGCUCACCAAGGCGACGACGGGUAGCCGGCCUGAGAGGGUGAGCGGCCACACUGGGACUGAGACACGGCCCAGACUCCUACGGGAGGCAGCAGUGGGGAAUAUUGCACAAUGGGGGCAAGCCUGAUGCAGCAACGCCGCGUGAGGGAUGACGGCCUUCGGGUUGUAAACCUCUUUUAGUAGGGAAGAAGCGAAAGUGACGGUACCUGCAGAAAAAGCACCGGCUAACUACGUGCCAGCCGCCGCCGUAA
rnacentral:rRNA from 1 species